AAAACUUAUUCUUAAGUGCUUCCCAUGGGUCAAUAAAAAAAAAAGAAAUAAAAUUACUUCCCAUGGGCGAGACGAGAGCUUGUGUUUUUUACACCCACAUUUUUUUUUUUUUUUUUUUUUUAUGCCUUUGCUCUGUUACUUGCGAGCUCAGCUCUGUUGUAGUACCUACCACUCGGUUUGAUUUCUGUGAAAUUUUGAAAAAAAAAAACAAGGUGUCAACGGUCGCCUUUUGCCCCAGGUUAAGAAACGUUCAUUUUGAGAGGAUGGAUCCAAACGGCCAAAGCCCCCAAAAUCCAGUGAUUUCAAAUAAAGGCAUACGUGGAGCCGCAGAGGUUAGGAAUUUCAUACGUCUCUUCGCGAUCCCUAGCCCUAACCAAAACUAUUCCUAUCUUUCAACUCAAAUGCCGCUGUGACUGAUGGCUUAACGAUCAGAUUGAAAGCUUUAAUUUCAAGAGCUUUUGAUGGCCUAUUCAACAGCUUAAAGGCGGCUGUGAAUUUAGUGAUCAGAUUGAGGGAUUCAAUUUUGGAAGCUCUUUAUCACCUACUGAACAG